rnacentral:rRNA from 1 species
UACGUAGGGGGCAAGCGUUGUCCGGAAUUAUUUGGGCGUAAAGAGCGCGUAGGCGGUCCGGUAAGUCGGUUGUGAAAGUCGGGGGGCUCAACCCUCGGAUGCCGAUCGAUACUGUCGGGCUAGAGUCCGGAAGAGGCGAGUGGAAUUCCUGGUGUAGCGGUGAAAUGCGCAGAUAUCAGGAAGAACACCAAUGGCGAAGGCAGCUCUCUGGGACGGUACUGACGCUGAGACGCGAAAGCGUGGGGAGCGAACAGG